AAACAACAUAAAACAUCCAUAAAACAAUCCACAGCUCUGCAUUCAUUUAGUGCUACUGUUCAGUAGUCUGACCGCCUGAGGGUAAAAACUGUCUGAGGAGAGAGGU